rnacentral:sRNA from 1 species
CUAAGCUCAGUUGCUGGGGUUGCUCCGGAAGGAGCCCAGCGCCUUGAUGGCUGCCGCCCGGAGGAUGUACUGGUGAUACGCCGCCGCCGCCAGCGCUCCGAUGAACGGCCCCGCCCAGAAGAUCCACUGCUCGUCCCAUGCCUUCUUCUGGUUGUAGAUGACGGCGGCGCCGAUGCUCCGGGCAGGGUUGAUGCCCGUGCCGGUGAUGGGGAUGGUGGCCAGGUGCACCAUGAACACGGCGAACCCGAUGGGCAGCGGCGCGAGCACCGGGACGUGGGAGUCGCGGGCAUUGCGCUUUGGGUCGGUGGCGGAGAAGACGGUGUAGACGAGGACGAAGGUGCCGAUGAUUUCGGCGCCGAGGGCGGUGCCGGUGGAGUAGCCGCUGGCCACCAUGUUGGCGCCGCCGCCGUUGGCGUUGUACUGGUGCUUCAUGAUGCCCUUCACGAUGCCCACGCCCACGAUGCCGCCCAGGCACUGCGCCACGAUGUACAUCACCGCGCGAAUCACCGACACCUUCCUCGCCAGCAGCAGCCCGAACGUCACCGCGGGGUUAAUUACGGACCGGAGAUGCCGGCGGUGCAGUAGACGAGGAUGAAGAUCAUGCCACCGAAGGCCCAGGCGAUGCCGAGGGUGCCGACGCCGCCGCACUGGUCGGCGGACGACUGCACCUUGUACCCAAUGACGGUGGCGACGGUGAUGUAUAGGAACAGGAGCGUGGCGAUGAACUCCGCAAUGAGCGCCCGGUAGAAGGACCACAGCCGGAGCUCGCCGACGUCGAACAGCGGCGCCGGCGGCGGGUCGGUGUAGUCCUUGGGCCGCACGUGCUCCGGCUCCUCGCUCACCUCCUU